rnacentral:rRNA from 1 species
UACGUAGGGUGCGAGCGUUAAUCGGAAUUACUGGGCGUAAAGCGUGCGCAGGCGGUUUUGUAAGGCAGGUGUGAAAUCCCCGGGCUUAACCUGGGAACUGCACUUGUGACUGCAAGGCUGGAGUACGGCAGAGGGGGAUGGAAUUCCGCGUGUAGCAGUGAAAUGCGUAGAUAUGCGGAGGAACACCGAUGGCGAAGGAAGUCCCCUGGGCCUGUACUGACGGUCAUGCACGAAAGCGUGGGGAGCAAACAGG